UACGGGAGGCAGAAGUGGGGAAUAUUGCACAAUGGGCGAAAGCCUGAUGCAGCUAUGCCGCGUGUAUGAAGAAGGCCUUAGGGUUGUAAAGUACUUUCAUCGGGGAGGAAAAAACAAAACUAAUAAUUUUAUUUCUUGACGUUACCCGAAAAAGAAGCACCGGCUAACUCCGUGCCAGCAGCCGCGGUAAUACGGAGGGUGCUAGCGUUAAUCAGAAUUACUGGGCGUAAAGAGCACGUAGGUGGUUUUUUAAAGUCAGAUGUGAAAUCCCUGGGCUUUAACCUAGGAACUGCAUUUUAAAACUGAAAUACUAGAGUAUCGUAGAGGGAGGUAGAAUUCUAGGUGUAGCGGUGAAAUGCGUAGAUAUCUGGAGGAAUACCUGUGGCGAAAGCGGCCUCCUAAACGAAUACUGACACUGAGGGUGCGAAAGCGUGGGGAGCAAACAGGGAUUAGAUACC
rnacentral:rRNA from 1 species